rnacentral:tRNA from 1 species
GUGAGCGUAGCUCAAUGGCAGAGCACUGGACUGUGGCUCCAGGGGCUGAGGGUUCGAGUCCCUUCGCUCACCCCA